rnacentral:rRNA from 1 species
UACGUAGGGUGCAAGCGUUGUCCGGAAUUAUUGGGCGUAAAGAGCUCGUAGGCGGCUUGUCACGUCGGGGUGUGAAAGCCCGGGGCUUAACCCCGGGUCUGCAUUCGAUACGGGCAGGCUAGAGUGUGGUAGGGGAGAUCGGAAUUCCUGGUGUAGCGGUGAAAUGCGCAGAUAUCAGGAGGAACACCGGUGGCGAAGGCGGAUCUCUGGGCCAUUACUGACGCUGAGGAGCGAAAGCGUGGGGAGCGAACAGG